CCUACGGGAGGCAGCAGUGAGGAAUAUUGGUCAAUGGGCGCAAGCCUGAACCAGCCAAGUCGCGUGAGGGAUGACGGUCCUAUGGAUUGUAAACCUCUUUUGUCGGGGAGCAAGGCCCGCCACGUGUGGCGGGUAGGAGAGUACUCGAUGAAAAAGCAUCGGCUAACUCCGUCCCAGCAGCCGCGGUAAUACGGGGGUUGCGAGCGUUAACGGGUUUGAUGGGGUUUAAAGGGUGCGUAGGGGGAAGGCUAAGGCAGCGGUAAAAUGCGGGUGCUAAAACCCGGCCUGCCGUUGAAACUGGUCUUCUUGAGUGAGCGAGAAGUCAGCGGAAUGCGUGGUGUAGCGGUGAAAUGCAUAGAUAUCACGCAGAACUCCGAUUGCGAAGGCAGCAUACCGGCGCUCAACUGACGCUGAGGCACGAAAGCGUGGGGAUCGAACAGGAUUAGAUACCCCUGUAGUC
rnacentral:rRNA from 1 species